AGUCGUGCGCCUCCAAGCUAUGAUGGAGACGCGGCGUACAGCUCAGUAACACGUGGCUAACCCACCCUUGAGACGGAGACAACCCCGGGAAACUGGGGCUAAUCCCUGAUAGGGGAAGAUACCUGGAAGGGGUCUUCUCCCAAAAGGCGCUUAGAUCAUGCUUCUAGACGUCGCUCAAGGACGGGGCCGCGGCCGAUCAGGUUGUUGGUGAGGUAAUGGCUCACCAAGCCUAUAACCGGUACGGGCCGUGAGAGCGGGAGCCCGGAGAUGGGCACUGAGACAAGGGCCCAGGCCCUACGGGGCGCAGCAGUUGCGAAAACUCCGCAAUGCACGAAAGUGUGACGGGGCUACCCCGAGUGCCGUCCGCUGAGGGCGGCUUUUCCCCGGUGUAAGGAGCCGGGGGAAUAAGGAGAGGGCAAGUCUGGUGUCAGCCGCCGCGGUAAUACCAGCUCUCCGAGUGGUAGGGAUGAUUAUUGGGCUUAAAGCGUCCGUAGCCGGCCUAGCAAGUCUUCCGUUAAAUCCACCGAUUCAAUCGUUGGACUGCGGGAGAUACUGUUGGGCUAGGGGGCGGGAGAGGCCGACGGUAUUCUCGGGGUAGGGGUAAAAUCCUAUAAUCCCGGGAGGACCACCAGUGGCGAAGGCGGUCGGCUAGAACGCGCUCGACGGUGAGGGACGAAAGCUGGGGGGAGCGAACCGGAUUAGAUACCCGGGUAGCCCCAGCUGUAAACGAUG
rnacentral:rRNA from 1 species